GUAGUUACUACCCUUGAUACUAUAUACAUACAUGUAUAUAUAUAGACUAUCAUUUGGAAAAUCGUGCCAAGCCCCUGUGAUACAAAUCUACAUAUAAUCGUCAUAACCUUUAUAUAUAAAAUACCGAAAUUAAUAAAAUGCAUAAUACAUGGACGUGUAAUAUUCUUAUAACAAAGAGUAGGUAAUAUGCUGUAUUUGAAUUAUAACUAUCAAUAUAUGGAUGCACGUAUUAAUAAUAUCCACUAGGAUACCAUAGUUAAAGUACCAUACAUGUACAUGGAGACGUACUGUACAAUGAGUUUUAUGAUUAUGAUUGUGUACAAUUGACUAUCUGAUAUCAGUACCUGGAUACAAGGUGUAUUAUAACAAUGUCUAUAUUAUAUAAGUAUCUGGAUACCAGAUGUAUUAUACGAUAUCUAUAUUAUAUAAGUAAUCUGGAUACCAGAUUUUUUUUAUGAAAUAUCAGAUACAGGGUGUAUUAUACAACACAAUAUUUAUCUAAGUACCUGAAUACCAGGUGUAAUAUACUCCACAAUAUAUACCUAAUUACUUGAAUACCAGGUGUAAUAUACUCCACAAUAUAUACCUAAUUACCUGGAUACCAGGUGAGUAUCCGGAUACAAGGUGUUUUAUACUACACAAUAUAUCUAAUUACCUGGAUACCAGGUGAGUAUCCGGAUACAAGAUGUAUUAUACUACACAAUAUAUACAAAAUGUACCUAAUUACCUGGAUACCAGGUGAGUAUCCGGAUACAAGGUGUAUUAUACUACACAAUAUAUACCUAAUUACCUGGAUACAAGGUGUAUUAUACUACACAAUAUAUACCUAAUUACCUGGAUACCAGGUGAGUAUCCGGAUACAAGGUGUAUUAUACUACACAAUAUAUCUAAUAACCUGGAUACCAGGUGUAUUAUACUACACAAUAUAUUUAAUUACCUGGAUACCAGGUGAGUAUCCGGAUACAAGGUGUAUUAUACUACACAAUAUAUACCUAAUUACCUGGAUACAAGGUGUAUUAUACUACACAAUAUAUCUAAUUACCUGGAUACCAGGUGAGUAUCCGGAUACAAGGUGUAUUAUACUACACAAUAUAUACCUAAUUACCUGGAUACAAGAUGUAUUAUACUACACAAUAUAUCUAAUAACCUGGAUACCAGGUGUAUUAGACAAUAUUAGACCCGCCCUAUUAUUAAACCAACUUUAUUUACCCGCAAGAAAAUCAGGAGAGUAUGCAUGAUUUCUGUCACUCGUAUAGUUAAUAUCUAUACUUGGUCCACGCCCUUCUUUUUUGAUACAUUUUUCCUGUUCCAACAAUUUCACAAACUGAUCAUAUAGGAAGUGAAAAUAAAGGAAAGCAUGCUGUAUCAAAGUAAGAUGUUUAUGUAGAUAUUGGAAAUUUUCAGAACUGGUGCAAUGGUCAUAUACAAAAGUAACAAGAUGACAAACCUAAUAAAGCCCUGUAGGUGUUUUUUUUCUAAUGACUUUCUGACUAUAGUGUAUAAUACCAGUUACUAAAAACAUUUAUUGCCUAUUUUUGUCAUAGUGUUUUGUCAUAUUUUUGAUAAAUUGAUGUCAUAUUUUAUAUUGUCAUAUUAACCAUGUCAUAUUUUGUCAUAUUUUUGUCUGCCAUACGGACGAAUUUGCAUUCUCUAUUGUCAGGUCAGAUACUGCAGUGUGACAUUGUCGAAUGAAGAAAACAUUUUGGUGAUCUUAUACGUCACCAAAACGUAAAUAACACAUUUACCUUAUUACAGCGUUAUGAUACCUAUGUUAGUUUAAACUUGAGUCAAGAAAUUUACUGAUUUGAAUUAUGUUACAUGAGACAUAUAUAGAUGAUGUAACACCUCAUAUCACAUAAAAUGCAUUUUUGUUUAGGUUGCUACUUUAUAUCUUGUUACAUAUACAAUGGAUGAAGUUCAUGUCAAAUCUUACAUCGAGUACAGUAUUACUUUGGGUACAGCGUUGGUUUAGGUACAGUGUUAAUUUGGGCACAGUAUUUGUUUGGGUACAGCAUUGCUCUGUGAACAUUAUUACUUUGGAUACAGUAUAACGUUGGGUACAGUAUUACUUUGGUAACAAUAUAACUUUGGGUACAGUAUUACAUUGGGUACAGUAUUACUUUGGGUACAGUAUAACUUUGGGUACAAUAUUAGGUUUGGUACAGUAUAACUUUGGGUACAAUAUUACGUUUGGUACAGUAUAACUUUGGGUACAGUAUUACGUUUAGUACAGUAUUACUUGGGUACAGUAUAACGUUGGGUACAGUAUUACUUUGGGUACAGUAUAACUUUGGGUACAGUAUUACGUUUAGUACAGUAUUACUUGGGUACAGUAUAACGUUGGGUACAGUAUUACUUUGGGUACAGUAUAACUUUGGGUACAGUAUUACUUUGGGUACAGUAUAACGUUGGGUACAGUAUUACUUUGGGUACAGUAUAACGUUGGGUACAGUAUUACUUUGGGUACAGUAUUACUUUGGGUACAGUAUAACUUUGGGUACAGUAUUACGUUUAGUACAGUAAUUAGGUGCAGCAUUAUUUUAAGUACAGAAUUACUUUAGGUACAUUAAUAAUUUGGGUACAAUAUAUAUAGAGUAUUACAUCGGGUACAAUAUUACGUUUGGAACAGUAAAACGUUGGGUACAGUAUUACUUUAGGUAUAGUACCGCUAAGUGCCGUAUCAUUUUAAGCAUAGUACAGGUAUGGUUAGUACUGUAUUUUAAGUUACAUGCAUAUUAAUACAAUAUUAUAAUAACAAUAGUGUUGUCCAGAGAAUGAUGAAGAUUUGAAGCAGAUUUAUAAUGGUAUGAUAUCUUGUGUUAUUGGUCACAGAUCUUUAAAUUGUAAUAGAUAGAAAUAUCAUAUAAAACAACUACAUUUUAAUUAUUAAAUGAUAUAUGUAUA